GAAAGUAUUGUCAUGAUGUCGCUGAAUGUUUUGUCUGCUUCAGUUGAUGUUGCAAGUGAAAUGCCGUUUAGUAGAGUUAAAGUUGAUGUCUGUUUGAGGGGGAGUUUGAGGAGGAGCAAAAUAAUGUUGCGGUGAGUUCACUUUCAUGUGUUAAUUUAUAGUAAAAACAUUUGUUUUGAAAUAAUCAGCCCAAUAUCGUAGUUAUACAGACGAAGUAUCUUAAUUUGAGUCAGUUUGCUACAGCAGGAAAAAAAUCCUGCAGCAACAGAAUACAUUUUUCUUUAGGGCAAAUCAAGUCUUACAUUUCAAAGUGGAAAUUACAAACUUGAAAAGCCUUUUUAAAACUAAAAUAUACUACAAGUUUGCAUUUCCUUCCGUGCAGAGAAAUGAUCAGCAACAAAAUAGUGAUCAAAUUAGAUCAUACAUUGGUAUGGUCUUUCUGAAUCCUGCAGUUAUAACAUAGGCUAACAUAAAAUGAUUUCUUAACUUCAUGGCACUGAUUUAUGUUUUAGCUUCCUAGGUUGAACAUUUCUUUUUAAACAUUUCUAUUUACAGGGGUUACUUUGCAAACCAAGGGACAACCAACUUCUCUCUGAGGAUAGUCGGUAUCCGACGUGGAGACUCUGACAUCCGCAGACAGUUCCUCCCUCAAAUACCUCACCCACGCUGUGUGGAGGGUGUUGAGCGGACUGUCCGAGCUUGACCAGCAGGAUGUGAGGCAGUUUCAGCAGGCGUACCACCUCCUGGGGAACUUCAAUAAUGAGCCAGCAAACAGGGAGCGACCUGAGCAGGAGAUGGUUCUUAUAGGAGUAUGUCUAAGUGCAAGCUUGAGCGCUAGUUGCAGGCACAGUCUUCUCAUCUAACAUCUACUCAAUGGGACUUUCUAAAAUGCUUGUCAAAUGAAGAUGAUGUAAUUAUCCUAUUUAUUUGACUUCAGAUCAACCGUAUGAACUUCACAGAUGUUUUUUAUGAAUUCGUUCUACUAAUCCUUCUAGAGGGAAAAACAUAUCUUCCUACUUCUGUAAGUGGCCCUAAGAAUGGAGCAUCCUGUUGUUUAUCUAUGCUAAACACACUGUUGUCAUAUCAGAUCUGUAGACACUCACUCAAUUCCCCUGUUCAUUCUCCAGAGGCCUGGUAGCUUCCUUUAUCUUUAUCUGCUCCUGGAAGUCACAAUGAGGAUUCGCCCUCCUGGAGCAGCCUGGACCGAGGCUCCUGGGAACUUCUACCUCCUCGUUAAGGUACAUUUCUCUCUUUCUCCUUUCUCUUUUUCUCUUUCUCUUUC